rnacentral:lncRNA from 1 species
UCCUGUUAUCUUUGAAUAGAUAAGAGGGUAGACACCGCUUACAACUUCAUUGAUUAUUGUCUUGUAACCUGUAAAGAAUAGAGCACUUAUAAUGAAUAGAAAUGUUUCCCGGGGAUUCUGAUUAGAUUAUUUAAACUACCAGAUUAAAAUAGUGUAUAAAUAUACAGGAAGAUAUUUUGCAAGAAAGGGAGAAUGUGUAAGAAGUCAAAGUUAAAUGCAAGGUGAUAAAUACAAAACCAUAAAUAUGUAUACCACAGUGAUACCACAAACCCCUUCCCCAAUGGCUGUGAUAUUUCUUCUCUUUCUCUCUUAAGAAAGCAAUAAGAAGGAUGUUUGAGAGGAAACGAAAGGAAGGUAGAGGGAAAAAAGGAGUAACAAUUUACGAGUCCCCUGAAUUUACGAUUUGGCGGGUGGAGAGAAAGGAAAUAAAGAAAGGAUGAAAUAAAAAGCAAAAGAAAGAAACAAAGAGAAAGAAAGAGAGAGACGGACAGACGGACAAAAAGAAGUAAAAAGGAGAAAGAAAGAAGAAAAGAGUCUAGUGGUGAAACGAGGUGGUUAACUCGUACUCGAGAAUCGCUUGGUAACUUCCAAGACUCCGUGUCGAGUACUCAAAGAGUAAACUCGAGAGCAAGAGUGAGAGAGAAGGAUAGAAAGAAUACAUGAUGAUAACCACGUGGAGUCAGAGUGAAGCCGUAAAUGGUAACGCGAGAGGAAGAUGGGACCAGCAAGCAAGCAAAAGGGGGUAGAAAACUAGUUCUCCUCUUCGAUGCUCACGAUCUUACCUGGGUUACUGCACACCAACGUAGCCAAAGUAAAUUUAACAACUGUGUGCCAACGUUUUUAUCUCUGUCUGUCUGUCUGUCUGUUUGUCUACCUGCCUGUCUGUGUAUAUUUGACACAACGUAACAAACAAUAUCGUGGAUAAAAUAAUAUCGUUUAGAUGUCUCUCGUGUUAAAGAUGACUCGACAAAGGUAAAUAAAAAUUUAUUCAAGAUCAUAUUUAAAACAGUAUCGAAUGAAUUCUAAUUUAUACAAAACCGAACGCGUUCUCCAAAACGUGCUUAUAAACUGAACGUUUCUGAUAAGUUUAGAGAAUAAAAAAGAGAGAACCUAUCUCUCGGGGAACAACCUUUUUCUGUCAACGUCAAAUCGAAGGAAAAAAAAAGAAAAAAUAAAAUAAAAUAAAAGACAAGUUAAAAUAGAAAAAGAAAAGGGGAACCGAGGAGAAUGAUCCAAGAGAUCGAGACUUUCGUGAAUCCGGAUCCGUGGGUCGAAUCCGAUCCAGCAUCUCGCGUGUCGAGACACGCUUCGCUCAACUGUGUUCCUUCCCUCUUCCCUGUCCCUCUUCCUUGUCCCUCUUCCUCUCCACCUUCUCACUCGCUCUGUCUUUCUCUCUCUCUCUUUUGUGUAUUCUUUCACGGUCCCUCCAGUCCCUCCUGAAGAGUUUCUAUCUCUUUCUUUCUUCCUCACUCGUGUGUUAAGUCCACCAUCUCGCUCUUUCUUAUUCUGGAUUGACCAGUUGUUCCUUUUGUUUUUCACUAACAUGAGUGAGCAAGCGAAAGAGAGAAAAAUAGACAGGGAAAGAAAAACAGAGAAGGAGAAAGAGAAAAGAGAAAGAAAAGAACUGGAUGGGUGUACGAGAGAGGAACUGAAGAGAGAACAUCUCUUGAAGAGGACCGUAUUUUCUCUCUUUUACUUCCCAAAGAAUAAGAGAGAAAGAGAAAGAGAAUGCGAGGAGCAACAAGAGCAACCGUGACGCCGUACAAAGAGAGCAACGGAUCUAAGGAAGAAAAAGGAGGAAAAAACGGGCCUUCGGGGCAAACGGAAAAGGAUAGGUCGUUGGUUUGGUUGAGAGGGCAGAAGAGAAAA